rnacentral:tRNA from 1 species
GGGGUUGUGGCUCAGCAGUAGAGCGCUCGCCUCACAUGCGCGAGAUCCUGGGUUCAAUCCUCAGCACCA